rnacentral:rRNA from 1 species
UACGAAGGGGGCUAGCGUUGCUCGGAAUUACUGGGCGUAAAGCGCACGUAGGCGGAUUGUUAAGUCGGGGGUGAAAUCCUGGAGCUCAACUCCAGAACUGCCUUCGAUACUGGCGAUCUCGAGUUCGGGAGAGGUGAGUGGAACUGCGAGUGUAGAGGUGAAAUUCGUAGAUAUUUCGCAAGAACACCAGUGGCGAAGGCGGCUCACUGGCCCGAUACUGACGCUGAGGCACGAAAGCGUGGGGAGCAAACAGGG